rnacentral:rRNA from 1 species
GAUGAACGCUAGCUACAGGCCUAACACAUGCAAGUCGAGGGGCAUCGGGAGGGAAGCUUGCUUCCCUUGCCGGCGACCGGCGCACGGGUGAGUAACGCGUAUCCAACCUGCCCACCACUUGGGGAUAACCUUGCGAAAGUAAGACUAAUACCCAAUGAUAUCCCACGAAGGCAUCGGAAUGGGAUUAAAGAUUUAUCGGUGAUGGAUGGGGAUGCGUCUGAUUAGCUUGUUGGCGGGUAACGGCCCACCAAGGCGACGAUCAGUAGGGGUUCUGAGAGGAAGGUCCCCCACAUUGGAACUGAGACACGGUCCAAACUCCUACGGGAGGCAGCAGUGAGGAAUAUUGGUCAAUGGGCGAGAGCCUGAACCAGCCAAGUAGCGUGCGGGACGACGGCCCUAUGGGUUGUAAACCGCUUUUGAUUGGGAACAAAGAGCGCCACGUGUGGUGCGUUGCGUGUACCUUUCGAAUAAGCAUCGGCUAAUUCCGUG